rnacentral:rRNA from 1 species
AGCUUGACACUGAACACUGGUCCUUGAUGUGUAGGAUAGGUGGGAGGCUUUGAAGUGUGGACGCCGGUCUGCGUGGAGCCAUCCUUGAAAUACCACCCUUUAAUGGCUGGUGUUCUAACGUGGGCCCCUAAUCGGGGUUGCGGACAGUGUCUGGUGGGUAGUUUGACUGGGGCGGUCUCCUCCUAAAGAGUAACGGAGGA